ensembl:snoRNA SNORA63 Small nucleolar RNA SNORA63
AAGCAGGAUUUAGACUACAAUAUAGCUGUUAAGUGCUGUGUUGUCGUUCCCCCUGCUCAAAAUAAAGUUGAUUCUUUACUAUACCUGUCUGCAGUGUUCUGUAGCAGCCAGGGACGCUUGGUUUCAUACAU